GGGGGUGUAAAGGUUUCGACGGGGGUUUUGAAACACGAUAAGCGAGUAGAGGAACGCACACUCUUAAAACGGCGUACGUUUUAAAAUUAGACGACAACGAUAAUUUUGAAUUAGCUGCUGCUUAAGUCAGCACUCGUCCUGCCUUAGAGUACCACGGCUUUGGUAAGGGCGUCGAUCAGUGGUGAACGUUGCUUGGCGAUGACUGUAGCCCUGUGAUGUAUCACAGUCUACCAAACACACAGGCGUGUCUGUUUGCCUUUGUGCAAGGGAAUGGGAUCUUCCGCAAUAACAGAAUACACUCGUAGAAGUUCGUGGGGAUAGGCUUUCGGACAGGAGUUCGAUUCUCCUCACCUCCACCA
rnacentral:tmRNA from 1 species